rnacentral:lncRNA from 1 species
AUUUGAGUCAUGUCUUUUGAAUAUUUUCUUGAAAAAAUUGUCAGAAUUGAUAUAAAUUGAAAUCAGAAGAGAAGUAGACCAAGUUUUUUCUUCUUACUAUGAGUAAGAUAGAAAUCAUUGGCUGUAAUAUUUAUUUUAUUCAUUAUAUAUUUCUUUAUUGCAUGGGAUAUGACAGAGUACAUAUAUUUAACAAGUUAAGAGCAGUGAUCAUAAACUGUCAAGUUCUUCUGCCUAUAAGAAAUACAAGGAAUCCACAAAGCACUUUGAGCAGAAAAAAAUACGCAAUUUAUUGUUGUUUGUUCAAUGCAUAUAUAAAUA